AAGGGAAAGAGGUUUCUAAAAGAAGCUGCUAACUAUCUUUUAUCAGCGGUUAAACUCCGUUAUUCCCUUAU
rnacentral:tRNA from 1 species